CGAACGCUGGCGGCAGGCUCAUACAUGCAAGUCGAGCGAUUAAGCCCCUUCGGGGGUGCAUAAAGCGGCGAACGGGUGAGUAACAGGUGGAUAAUCUGCCCUUUGGUGAGGGAUAACGGCUGGAAACGGCCGCUAAUACCGCAUGUGGUUGCGGGGUCUCCGGACCCUGCAAAAAAAGGGGCUUCGGCCUCGCCAAGGGAUGAGUCCGCCCCCCAUUAGCUAGUUGGCGGGAUAAUAGCCCACCAAGGCUUCGAUGGGUAGCCGAGCUGAGAGGUUGAUCGGCCACACUGGGACUGAGACACGGCCCAGACACCUACGGGUGGCAGCAGUAGGGAAUAUUGGACAAUGGGCGAAAGCCUGAUCCAGCCAUGCCGCGUGGAUGAUGAAGGCCUUCGGGUCGUAAAGUCCUUUUCUGAGGGAAGAAAUGCCGAGGUUAAUGCCCUUGGUUUGACGGUACCUCAGGAAUAAGCAACGGCUAACUCCGUGCCAGCAGCCGCGGUAAUACGGAGGUUGCAAGCGUUGUUCGGAAUCACUGGGCGUAAAGGGAGCGCAGGCGGUUAGGUCAGUCUAAAGUGGAAUCCCGGGGCUCAACUUCGGACGUGCUUUGGAUACUGCCUAACUUGAGUUCGUGAGAGGAGAGCGGAAUUCCAGGUGUAGCGGUGAAAUGCGUAGAUAUCUGGAGGAACACCGGUGGCGAAAGCGGCUCUCUGGCGCGAAACUGACGCUGAGGCUCGAAAGCGUGGGGAGCGAACAGGAUUAGAUACCCUGGUAGUCCACGCUGUAAACAUUGUGCACUAGGUGUGGGAGGUAUCGACCCCUUCCGUGCCGAAGCUAACGCAUUAAGUGCACCGNCUGGGGAGUACGGUCGCAAGACUGAAACUCAAAGGAAUUGACGGGGGCCCGCACAAGCGGUGGAGCAUGUGGUUUAAUUCGAGGCAACGCGAAGA
rnacentral:rRNA from 1 species